UGGGGAUGACGUCAAGUCAGCAUGGCCUUUAUAUCCUGGGCUACACACACGCUACAAUGGUCUGUACAAUAGGUUGCCAAGCCGCGAGGCGGAGCCAAUCCUUAAAGCAGGACCUCAGUUCAGAUUGUAGGCUGCAACUCGCCUGCAUGAAGAUGGAGUUGCUAGUAACCGCAGGUCAGCAAUACUGCGGUGAAUACGUUCCCGGGUCUU
rnacentral:rRNA from 1 species